AUUGAACGCUGGCGGCAGGCCUAACACAUGCAAGUCGAACGAGUGGCGGACGGGUGAGUAAUGUCUGGGAAACUGCCUGAUGGAGGGGGAUAACUACUGGAAACGGUAGCUAAUACCGCAUACCAUCAGAUGUGCCCAGAUGGGAUUAGCUUGUUGGUGGGGUAACGGCGCACCAAGGCGACGAUCCCUAGCUGGUCUGCGAGGAUGACCUGCCACCCUGGAACUGUGACACGGUCCAGACUCCUACGGGAGGCAGCAGUGGGGAAUUUUGCACAAUGGGCGCAAGCCUUGUGCAGCCAUGCCGCGUGUAUGAAGAAGGCCUUCGGGUUGUAAAGUAAUUUCAGCGGGGAGGCGUUACCCGCAGAAGAAGCACCGGCUAACUCCGUGCCAGCAGCCGCGGUAAUAC
rnacentral:rRNA from 1 species